GACGAACCGUGCGAACGUUUAUUCGGAAUCACUGGGCUUAAAGCGCGUGUAGGCGGGAGGGAACGUCGGCCGCUGAAAUCCCCCGGCUUAACCGGGGAGGGGCGCCGAUACGGCCUUCCUGGAGGGACGUAGGGGGAGCUGGAACUUCCGGUGGAGCGGUGAAAUGCGUUGAGAUCGGAAGGAACGCCCGCGGCGAAAGCGAGCUCCUGGACGUCUGCUGACGCUGAGACGCGAAAAGCCAGGGGGAGCGAACGGGAGUUAAGAAACC
rnacentral:rRNA from 1 species